CUUGACCCUGCUCUUAUGCGUUCCGGUCGAUUGGAUUGUAAAAUUGAGUUUCCACAUCCCACUGAAGAAGCAAGAGCUCGGAUUCUGCAGAUUCACUCUAGGAAGAUGAAUGUUCACCCGGACGUCAAUUUUGAAGAAUUAGCUCGCUCUACUGAUGAUUCAAUGGUGCACAACUAAAAGCAGUUUGUGUGGAGGCAGGCAUGUUGGCCCUUCGCCGUGAUGCAACUGAGAUGAGCCUGAUGAUUCCAUGCAUACAUUUACUGGUCAUACGGCUAUUCAUGCUACACUUGCCAGUCGCGAUGUGGACUAUUGUUUGAAUCCAGAUUCCCCUUUCUUUCCUAAAAGGACGAGGUGGACUUUUUGAGUUCAUUGAAAAACGACUCAGAAAAUGGACACAUGGUUAUUGUGAUUGCUGAGGGAGCAGGACAUGUUCUUCUUUUAGAGAGCUUGUAAUCCAUGAAGCAGCAAGAUGCUUCAAGAAACAAGCAACUUAAAGACGUUGGGUUAUGGAUAUCUCAAAGGAUCAGGGUAUUACUCGCAUUCCUACAGAGUUAGUGCUUGGAAACUUCCAAAGCUAGACUCCAAUGAGGCCAUGAGAGCAGCAAAGCUUGCAAAGCUAGACACAAGUAAAUUUCUAGAUGUAUUUUGCUAGGAGAGUACUAUUAGAUGUACUCCUUUUGGGGAUAAAAGAUUAACUUUGCACAAUUCAUUUUGGUGCAUGAUGUGAAUUAUAACAAUUUCUUCUAU